rnacentral:rRNA from 1 species
GAGUUUGAUCGUGGCUCAGAUUGAACGCUGGCGGCAUGCCUUACACAUGCAAGUCGAACGGCAGCAUGAUCUAGCUUGCUAGAUUGAUGGCGAGUGGCGAACGGGUGAGUAAUACAUCGGAACGUGCCCUGUAGUGGGGGAUAACUAGUCGAAAGAUUAGCUAAUACCGCAUACGACCUGAGGGUGAAAGUGGGGGACCGCAAGGCCUCAUGCUAUAGGAGCGGCCGAUGUCUGAUUAGCUAGUUGGUGGGGUAAAGGCCCACCAAGGCGACGAUCAGUAGCUGGUCUGAGAGGACGAUCAGCCACACUGGGACUGAGACACGGCCCAGACUCCUACGGGAGGCAGCAGUGGGGAAUUUUGGACAAUGGGCGAAAGCCUGAUCCAGCAAUGCCGCGUGUGUGAAGAAGGCCUCGGUUGG